AUUGAACGCUGGCGGCGUGCUUAACACAUGCAAGUCGAUCGGUAACAGGUGUAGCAAUACAUGCUGACGAGAGGCGGACGGGUGAGUAAUGCUUGGGAAUCUGCCUAUUAGUGGGGGACAACCCGGGGAAACUCGGGCUAAUACCGCAUACGCUCUACGGAGGAAAGCCGGGGACCGCAAGGCCUGGCGCUAAUAGAUGAGCCCAAGUCGGAUUAGCUAGUUGGUAGGGUAACGGCCUACCAAGGCGACAAUCCGUAGCUGGUCUGAGAGGACGACCAGCCACACCGGAACUGAGACACGGUCCGGACUCCUACGGGAGGCAGCAGGUGGGGAAUAUUGGACAAGUGGGGGCAACCCUGAUCCAGCGACGCCGCGUGGGUGAAGAAGGCC
rnacentral:rRNA from 1 species